GACGAACGCUGGCGGCGUGCUUAACACAUGCAAGUCGAACGGAAAGGCCCUGCUUUUGUGGGGUGCUCGAGUGGCGAACGGGUGAGUAACACGUGAGUAACCUGCCCUUGACUUUGGGAUAACUUCAGGAAACUGGGGCUAAUACCGGAUAGGAGCUCCUGCUGCAUGGUGGUGGUUGGAAAGUUUCGGCGGUUGGGGCUCGACUCGCGGGUUAUCCGCUUGUUGGUGGGGUAGGGGCUUCCCAAGGUUUUGACGGGUAGCCGGCCUGAGAGGGUGACCGGCCACAUUGGGACUAAGAUACGGCGCAGACGCCUACGGGAGGCAGCAGGGGAGAAUAUUGCACAAUGGGCGGAAGCCAGAUGCAACAACGUCGCGUGCGGGAUGACGGCCUUCGGGUUGUAAACCGCUUUCGCCGGAGACGAAGAGUGAGUGACGGUAAUGGGUAAAGAAGCACCGGCUAACUACGUG
rnacentral:rRNA from 1 species